rnacentral:rRNA from 1 species
UGGCGGACGGGUGAGUAACGCGUGGGUAACCUGCCUCAUACAGGGGGAUAACAGUUAGAAAUGACUGCUAAUACCGCAUAAGCGCACAAAACCGCAUGGUUUGGUGUGAAAAACUGAGGUGGUAUGAGAUGGACCCGCGUCUGAUUAGCUAGUUGGAGAGGUAACGGCUCACCAAGGCAACGAUCAGUAGCCGACCUGAGAGGGUGACCGGCCACAUUGGGACUAAGACACGGCCCAAACUCCUACGGGAGGCAGCAG